rnacentral:tRNA from 1 species
GCGCCCCUAGCUCAGCUGGUAGAGCAACGGACUCUUAAUCCGUAGGUUCCGGGUUCGAGCCCCGGGGGGCGUA